rnacentral:rRNA from 1 species
UACGUAGGCAGCAAGCGUUGUCCGGAAUUAUUGGGCGUAAAGAGCUCGUAGGCGGUUUGUCGCGUCUGCCGUGAAAGUCCGGGGCUCAACUCCGGAUCUGCGGUGGGUACGGGCAGACUAGAGUGAUGUAGGGGAGACUGGAAUUCCUGGUGUAGCGGUGAAAUGCGCAGAUAUCAGGAGGAACACCGAUGGCGAAGGCAGGUCUCUGGGCAUUAACUGACGCUGAGGAGCGAAAGCAUGGGGAGCGAACAGG